rnacentral:rRNA from 1 species
UGGGGAAUUUUGGACAAUGGGGGAAACCCUGAUCCAGCCACCCCGCGUGUGCGAUGAAGGCCUUCGGGUUGUAAAGCACUUUUGGCAGGAAAGAAACGUCAUGGGUUAAUACCCCGUGAAACUGACGGUACCUGCAGAAUAAGCACCGGCUAACUACGUGCCAGCAGCCGCGGUAAUACGUAGGGUGCAAGCGUUAAUCGGAAUUACUGGGCGUAAAGCGUGCGCAGGCGGUUCGGAAAGAAAGAUGUGAAAUCCCAGAGCUCAACUUUGGAACUGCAUUUUUAACUACCGGGCUAGAGUGUGUCAGAGGGAGGUGGAAUUCCGCGUGUAGCAGUGAAAUGCGUAGAUAUGCGGAGGAACACCGAUGGCGAAGGCAGCCUCCUGGGAUAACACUGACGCUCAUGCACGAAAGCGUGGGGAGCAAACAGG